AUUGAACGCUGGCGGCAGGCCUAACACAUGCAAGUCGAGCGGAUGACGGGAGCUUGCUCCUUGAUUCAGCGGCGGACGGGUGAGUAAUGCCUAGGAAUCUGCCUGGUAGUGGGGGACAACGUUUCGAAAGGAACGCUAAUACCGCAUACGUCCGACGGGAGAAAGCAGGGGACCUGCGGGCCUUGCGCCAUCAGAUGAGCCUAGGUCGGAUUGGCUAGUUGGUGGGGUAAUGGCUCACCAAGGCGACGAUCCGUAACUGGUCUGAGAGGAUGAUCAGUCACACUGGAACUGAGACACGGUCCAGACUCCUACGGGAGGCAGCAGUGGGGAAUAUUGGACAAUGGGCGAAAGCCUGAUCCAGCCAUGCCGCGUGUGUGAAGAAGGUCUUCGGAUUGUAAAGCACUUUAAGUUGGGAGGAAGGGCAGUAAGCUAAUACCUUGCUGUUUUGACGUUACCGACAGAAUAAGCACCGGCUAACUCUGUGCCAGCCGCCGCGGUAA
rnacentral:rRNA from 1 species